GGGUCAGUAGGUUGGUCGUGCCACCGGUACGUACUGGUCUCACUGAUUCCUCCUUCCUGAAGAACCGUAAUGCCAUUAAUUUGGUGUUGCGGGGAAACAGGACUGUCACUUUGAAAAAAUUAGAGUGUUAAAAGCAAGCUAACGCUUGAAUACAUUAGCAUGGAAUAAUGAAAUAGGACGAUCGAUCCUAUUUUGUUGGUUUCUAGGAUUGACGUA
rnacentral:rRNA from 1 species